UACAGAGGAUGCAAGCGUUAUCCGGAAUGAUUGGGCGUAAAGCGUCUGUAGGUGGCUUUUUAAGUCCGCCGUCAAAUCCCAGGGCUCAACUCUGGACAGGCGGUGGAAACUACCAAGCUGGAGUACGGUAGGGGCAGAGGGAAUUUCCGGUGGAGCGGUGAAAUGCGUAGAUAUCAGGAGGAACACCAGUGGCGAAGGCGACUCUUUGGCCUGUAACUGACACUGAGGCGCGAAAGCGUGGGGAGCAAACAGG
rnacentral:rRNA from 1 species